GACAGGCGGGCCCCGCGAGGUUUGGUCGAGGCCGACUAAAACCCCCGCCGCACCCAUCAUCCCACCACCACCACACCACUCGAACGAACCUCUCGCCAUUUGCCAACAGACCUCAGAUCUCGCUCUCGCCUCCUUGCGCAGCCGUCGUCGAGAGCAGCAAGAAAAUGGCGGCGAGCAACCUCGAGGGUGUGCUCCUGGGGAUGGGAAACCCCCUUCUCGACAUCUCCGCCGUCGUCGACGAGGCCUUCCUCGCUAAGUAUGAUGUGAAGCCGAACAAUGCCAUUCUUGCCGAGGACAAGCACUUGCCCAUGUACGAUGAGUUGUCCAGCAAGGACAAUGUUGAAUAUAUUGCUGGAGGAGCCACGCAGAACUCUAUCAGGGUUGCCCAAUGGAUGCUUCAAACUCCUGGUGCAACAAGUUACAUGGGUUGCAUUGGAAAGGACAAGUAUGGUGAGGAGAUGAAGAGCGCCGCUAAAGCUGCAGGAGUUACUGCUCAUUACUAUGAGGAUGAGGCUGCUCCUACAGGCACAUGUGCUGUCUGUGUUGUUGGUGGCGAAAGGUCAUUGAUUGCAAACUUAUCUGCUGCGAACUGCUACAAAUCUGAGCAUCUAAAGAGGCCAGAGAACUGGGCACUAGUUGAGAAAGCGAAAUACAUCUACAUUGCUGGCUUUUUCCUUACGGUGUCCCCUGAAUCUAUUCAGCUUGUUGCUGAGCAUGCUGCUGCAAAUAACAAGGUUUUCUUGAUGAACCUCUCCGCUCCCUUUAUCUGUGAGUUUUUCCGUGAUGCCCAAGAGAAGGUUCUUCCGUAUUCUGACUACAUCUUUGGAAAUGAAACCGAGGCAAGGAUCUUCUCUAAAGUCCGAGGGUGGGAGACUGAGAAUGUCGAGGAGAUCGCUUUGAAGAUCUCACAACUGCCUCUGGCUUCUGGAAAACAAAAGAGGAUUGCUGUGAUUACUCAGGGUGCUGAUCCAGUAGUUGUGGCUGAGGAUGGGAAGGUAAAAACAUUCCCUGUGAUCCUAUUGCCCAAGGAGAAGCUUGUUGACACCAAUGGCGCUGGUGAUGCGUUUGUUGGCGGCUUCCUCUCUCAGUUGGUUCAAGGGAAGAGCAUCGAGGACUGCGUAAAGGCCGGUUGCUACGCAGCAAACGUUAUCAUCCAGCAAUCUGGCUGCACUUACCCUGAGAAGCCUGACUUCAACUAGACCAAAUUCAGCGAUUCUACGGAAAGCAACACUUAACCGCUUGAUGGUUCGGCUUGUUCUCCCUGUAUUAUUUUGAGGCUUUCCAUCUGAUCCGGCCUAAUUUUCGGCCGUGGAUAUCUGUUGUACUGCUAUAAUCGGUACCUUUAUCUUUGGUAUAAGGCAUGGUUGCCAUUAUAUGGGGUGUUACUUGUGGCCGUCUUAUCCAAGUAUAUGCCGAAGCGUGGUCAGACCGACGAUAGUGCUUGAAGGCAGUGGAAUUUUAUGGACGUGUUUGUUUUGUGAGAAGUAUGGCAUAGUGUGGCUAAUGGUAUGUCUGUCAGUGAACCAAGGGCAUUAUUUGCCUGUCGUGGCUAGAAAUAGUGCAGUGCGAAUGUAAGUUGCUCCUUGUGACAAACUGCGUGUUCAGAUCAAGAAGCCCCUGCUGCCUGCUACAAGGACAGGUUCCAACUAUAUAUAGUUCGCUGUGCUAGGUUUGUUUCCCUUAUGACAAACAUCGUGUGUGC
rnacentral:rRNA from 1 species